rnacentral:snRNA from 1 species
GUGCUCGCUUCGGCAGCACAUAUACUAAAAUUGGAUCGAUACAGAGACGACUUAGCAUGGCCCCUGCGAAAGGAUGACACGCAAAUCCCGUGAAGCGCUCCAUAUUUUC